ACGAGCCUAACUUAAAACCCAAAGGACUUGACGGUAUCCCACCCAACUAGAGGAGCCUGUUCUAUAAUCGAUGAUCCACGAUAUACCUAACCAUUUCUUGCUUUCAGCCUGUAUACCUCCGUCGUAAGCCUACUAUAUGAAUAUGUAUAAGUGAGCUAGAAGACCCCCCCCGCCAUAACGUCAGGUCAAGGUGCAGCUUACGAAAUGGAAGUAAUGGGCUACAAUUUCUAACCUAGAACAUACGAAAAGCUAUAUGAAACAUAGCCAUGAAGGAGGAUUUAGUAGUAAAUAAGAAAUAGAGAGCCUUAUUAAACCCGGCCCUGGGAUGUGUACACACC
rnacentral:rRNA from 1 species